UACAUGUGGGGCAAGCGUUGUUCGGAAUUACUGGGCAUAAAGGGUGCGUAGGUGGUUUGUUAAGUCAGGGGUGAAAUCCCGCGGCCCAACCGUGGAACUGCCUUUGAUACUGGCGAACUUGAGUGCGUGAGGGGUAGGGGGAACGAGCAGUGUAGCGGUGAAAUGCGUAGAUAUUGCUCGGAAGGCCAGAGCCGAAGGGGCCCUACUGGUGCGCAACUGACACUGAGGCACGAAAGCCAGGGGAGCAAACGGG
rnacentral:rRNA from 1 species